rnacentral:miRNA from 1 species
GCAAACACAUUCCAGCCAAUCAGCAGCAGACCCUCCCUCCCAGACCCUCCCACCUCCUGGACAGCAUCCAUUUUGAAGCUGCAUUCUUAGUGAGCUGUCCAGGAGGUGGGAGGGUCUGGGAGGGAGGGUCUGCUGCUGAUUGGCUGGAAUGAGUCUG